CAUUGGAUCCACGAGCACAGAACUGAAGGUCCGCUUUCGUAAUCACAAGUCCACGAUGAUUAACAAUAAAAGGACAUGCGAAGUAGCGACGCAUUUCAACAAAACACCACAUGAUUUGUCGGACUUCAAGUUUAUAGGCAUAGAACAGAUAGUUAAUGACAGUGAUUUAAACACUACUGAGAAGCGAUUGUUGACAAGAGAAGCAUACUGGAGUGCGCAGUUAUGCACUUUAAAACCUUACGGUCUCAAUAAGAGAUGCGAAUUCAGGUCGAAGAACAGAAUAAACUUUAGUAAUUAGAAACAAUUUAAAUAUUUCGCAAUAAUAGGCCACAUUUUUAACAUCCCUAGAGUAUUCUCA